GACGAACGCUGGCGGCGUGCCUAAUACAUGCAAGUCGAGCGGACGGAUGGGAGCUUGCUCCCAGACCGUCAGCGGCGGACGGGUGAGUAACACGUGGGCAACCUGCCUGUAAGACUGGGAUAACUCCGGGAAACCGGGGCUAAUACCGGAUAACUCUUUCCCUCACAUGAGGGAAAGCUGAAAGAUGGCAUCUCGCUAUCACUUACAGAUGGGCCCGCGGCGCAUUAGCUAGUUGGUGAGGUAACGGCUCACCAAGGCGACGAUGCGUAGCCGACCUGAGAGGGUGAUCGGCCACACUGGGACUGAGACACGGCCCAGACUCCUACGGGAGGCAGCAGUAGGGAAUCUUCCGCAAUGGACGAAAGUCUGACGGAGCAACGCCGCGUGAGUGAUGAGGGUUUUCGGAUCGUAAAACUCUGUUGUCAGGGAAGAACAAGUACCGGAGUAACUGCCGGUACCUUGACGGUACCUGACCAGAAAGCCACGGCUAACUACGUG
rnacentral:rRNA from 1 species